rnacentral:rRNA from 1 species
GAUGAACGCUAGCGGCAGGCCUAAUACAUGCAAGUCGAACGGUCCGCUUCGGCGGAUAGUGGCGCACGGGUGCGUAACACGUAUGCAACCUACCUUACAUUGGGGGAUAGCCUUUCGAAAGGGAGAUUAAUACCGCAUAAGACGGUAGCUGGGCAUCCAGUAGCUGUUAAAGAUUUAUCGAUGUAAGCUGGGCAUGCGUCCAAUUAGUUAGUUGGUGAGGUAACGGCUCACCAAGACGAUGAUUGGUAGGGGAACUGAGAGGUCAAUCCCCCACACUGGCACUGAGAUACGGGCCAGACUCCUACGGGAGGCAGCAGUAGGGAAUAUUGGGCAAUGGACGCAAGUCUGACCCAGCCAUGCCGCGUGCAGGAAGAAGGCGUUCUGCGUUGUAAACUGCUUUUAUAUAGGAAGAAACGACCCUUGCGAGGGGCAUUGACGGUAUUAUAUGAAUAAGCACCGGCUAACUCCGUGCCAGCCGCCGCGGUAAAAC